rnacentral:rRNA from 1 species
UACGUAGGUGACAAGCGUUGUCCGGAUUUACUGGGCGUAAAGAGCGCGCAGGCGGUCGAUCAAGUCGAGUGUGAAAGCCCCAGGCUCAACUGGGGAGGGUCACUCGAUACUGAUCGACUUGAAGGCAGAAGAGGGAAGCGGAAUUCCCGGUGUAGUGGUGAAAUGCGUAGAUAUCGGGAGGAACACCAGUGGCGAAGGCGGCUUUCUGGUCUGUUCUUGACGCUGAGGCGCGAAAGCUAGGGUAGCAAACGGG